UACGGAGGAUCCAAGCGUUAUCCGGAUUCAUUGGGUUUAAAGGGUGCGUAGGCGGACUUGUAAGUCAGUGGUGAAAUCCUACAGCUUAACUGUAGAACUGCCAUUGAUACUGCUAGUCUUGAGUACAGUUGAUGUGGAUGGAAUGUGUCAUGUAGCGGUGAAAUGCUUAGAUAUGACACAGAACACCGAUCGCGAAGGCAGUUCACAAAACUGGUACUGACGCUGAGGCACGAAAGCGUGGGGAUCAAACAGG
rnacentral:rRNA from 1 species